GGGCCAGAUAUAGCCCAGCGGCUCCUUUGGCUGCUUGUAAUGGCAUUUCAUUCCCUGCCCCAGCACGGGUUUGAUCCCACGGGCACCCCUGGCCCACUC
rnacentral:vault_RNA from 1 species